UUUCCAACAGAAUUUAAAUAAAACUUUAAAUGACAUAAAAAUAGCUUCCUGUUUAUGGACAUUAGCCUAAAUUCAGUCUUAGAAGAACACAGCAGUAUGCCAUUAUCUGUGUGGGAAUGAAAGAAUGAGUGUAUUUCACAUUUUAUAUAUACUGUUUAUUGUGGAUGUGUAGAUACUUGGUUGUGGCUCACAGGAGGAUAAUGGGGGCAAGGGAAAUGGGGGCAAAUAUGCAUGACAGAAUGGCUUUGUUAACUUCCCUAUUUUUGCAGGAUGUUUUCACAGUUUUUCAAUUUAGUUUCCAUUGCCAUUCACAUGACUGAGAGUGUGUCUGAGAUGGCUGAGGAAACAGGAUGAUUCAUGCUGUAAAAGACUCUUUAUCUGCUAAUUGGAGAAAUUAUUGAAAUCAUGGCAGGCUUGUCAUAUAGACCUCUGGGCAGAAAACUUGCCAAUUUAGCCAGUUUGGUAAAAUUUAGAUGUGAACAGUGGUCAGUUGAUUUUCUAAGACACAGAAAAAUGAACAAAGUUAAUAAUUGAUAAAGUUGCCUUUUCUCUAGGGAAAAAAGCAUUUGGAGACUGUUUUACUUUCACUGUAUUUAUGUUUUUAAAGAAAAUACUUGUCUCCACUGACAAAUGUUUUGUGCUCAGUAAAUGAUAGUGGAUGGAUGAGUGGCUCUGUGGGUGCAUCCAUGGCUUGUUCCAAUUUUCCUUAUUCUUGAGCCCAUUUUGAAGGUCCUAGUUGGAGAAAAAGAUAUCCUUCCUGUGAGCACCCUUCUUACGGAGCCGGGCUGCUGGUGACAUGUGGAUCAUCAGCUGUUUCCAUGGAGCAGAUUUGUCUUGUGGUCACAUAGUCAGGAUGUGUCUAAACAGAAACUCGUCAAACUGAUUCAGAGCGAGACAGCGUCUACUGAGUGCAUCUUUUUUUUGCUGUGUCCAUACUUAAACAUGUACCAGAUAUGACAACCUCUCCCAGAAAAGAACCAGGAUAUGGCAUUUAGCAUCACAAGUGGAGUUGUAACCUGAAAAGAAAACUGGAUUCUUGGUUGGUGUUGAGCCGAAAGACACAACCUAGCCAAAGAUCAAGAGAAUGAUUUAUUAUUACUUGUAGCAAGAAAGAAUGAGUUUCCUGAGCAUCCAUCUUGGAAAAGAGAAGAAAAGGCAUGGCUGUUGAUAUGGCAAAUAUUAUACACCUGCUUAUCUAAUGCCCAUCCUCCACUAAACUGCCAGAAGACUUACCUAAAUACAGAUGGGGAACCACUGACUACAGGAUACAGUCUAGACUUCUUAAUAUGAAGAGUUCAAAGCUCUGGACCAUCUGUCCCCUGCUGACUUCUGUAAUUUUGUUGCGGUAUUAGAUUUGUUGUUGUUAGCAGCAGAAACUUUUUGUUCUCUGAACAAAACCUGUGUAUACCCAGUGUUUAAAACAGGUAAACAUGGAGCUCUUGGGGUUAAUAUGUACAUUGGUGGGGCCUACAGACCCCAGCUGCUCAGAGACCCUUCCCUAUACCCCAAGCACAAUUCUCUAUCUUGUUUUAUAUUCUCUUGCGGCUUGUUGGUCCUUCUGAAAUCAGCCUAAAAAGAUCAGAGAUGUAUACAAACUUUCCCAAUUUCUCUUUAUUCGUACAGGACUGCAGCUCAAUAAAGAACAAAUUUGGGGGAGUUCCCUGGUGGUUUGGUGGUUAGGACUCAGUGCUUUCACUGCCAUGGCCCUGGGUUCAAUCCCUGGUCAGGGAACUAAGAUUCGGCAAGUCAUGCGGUUCACAGCCAAAAAACCCCCAAUAAAUUUGGAAGCUUUAUGUUAACUUUGUUACUGGGAAGAAAUGAAUUCCAUAUGUGUUAACUUUUUGUAACAUGUCCUGAAUGAUUCCUUGAAGAUUCUAAGAUGUCCAAACUUAGACAUGGAGAUUUAGAAAGCCAGUUUUGGGGACUCAUUCUUGUCACAUUAGGCAUCCUCCUGUUAUUGACCUUCCUCUUUCUUCUGGAGUAACUAUUGUAUUAUGUUUCGAUCUUUAUGGUCCAAAGACUAUGAGAUCCUUUAGGAUUGAAAUAAGAUCUAUUAGAGAACAGCUGUCCAUGAGCUAAGAAAGACAGCUGCAAAACAAAAUGAAUCCAGCUGAGUGGUCCCAGUAUCUGGCUCAGUGCCUGGCACAUAAUAAAUGUUCAAUAAACUUUUCAUCCCCAGAAAGCAUGUUGGGUAUGACAGUUCCCUUGGCAACACGGAGGAAGAGAUACAGUCGUUCCUAUUGCCAGGCGUGUGGCGAUAAUUUGCUGUUGAUAUAGCUUUGGAAGUGGCCCCCAGGACUGUAGCAGGUGACGCUGGUCAGCAUCUCUUCUUGCCAAACCACAGCCAGGCUUCCUCUGCUUCUCCCAGCUGCACGGACUGUAACAGAAAGGGGAAACUUGAGGUGCUCUCUCUGCUUAAUUCACACCAGUGAUAGGCUUGUGCAUCUUGAGUUUGAUGACCACUGAAUGACCACCCAAAAACCAUGCUGGGAUUAUUUUAGAUUUAACACCAGUCAUAAGAAACUCUGAAAAAAAUCAAGAUAUAAAUAACUCAAGUUAAAAUUUGUGGCUUUUGUGGAUCUAUCUAUUUAUAUUUUUCAAAAGCAGUUAAUCUAUAGUCUUAAGAUACUCAAAAUGACAUUCUUUGCUUCUUUUGACCACAAAAGCCACACAUCUGUUUUAUUACUAGGAGGCUGUGUUGGGGAAGAUUGAAAUCUUCCUCCUCAUCUUUAAAAAAGUGAAAACAAACGAAAAGCCAAGAACUCCUCUGUUGGUUGCAUUGUAUGUAUUGGGUAGGCUCUUCAACUGUUAGAAAAGGAAUUGAACUUUAUCCUCACCCUGUCUUGUUAAUUGACAACUGGCAUAUCCAUCAAAGGGUGUCAUCUCAAAUGUUCUGACCUCUGAAUUCUGAGAUUAUAUUUAUGUUUUACAUUUCUUACCCUUCUUGGUCCAUUUUUUUCUAAUAUGGAAUGUGUUCAGUUGACCCAUCUUUUCUGGUCAGUUGGAAGGUACCCAUUCUGUCUUAAAUUCUGCUGAUUGUGCCUCAACCUUUUUUCUUGAGAUUGUUGACACCAGUUCACUGGUCUUUGAGUGCAUUGGGGAUCUUCUUUUGAUUAUUCCUCUACACUGUCCUCGGAGAAGGCAAUGGCAACCCAAUCCAGUACUCUUGCCUGGAAAAUCCCAUGGAUGGAGAAGUCUGGUAGGCUGCAGUCCAUGGGGUCUCGAAGAGUCAGAUACGACUGAGCGAAUUUACUUUCACUUUUCCCUUUCAUGCAUUGGAGAAGGAAAUGGCAGCCCACUCCAGUGUUCUUGCCUGGAGAAUCCUAGGGACGGUGGAGCCUGGUGGGCUGCCGUCUAUGGGGUCGCACAGAGUAGGACACGACUGAAGUGACUUAGCAGCAGCAGCAGCAGCAGCUACACUGUCCUAGGUAACUCAGUGGCACGUAUCUCCUCACCCCUCCUCCAGCAUGACCCAGGCUCCCCCCAUCAUGGUCUUGUAGAGCAGCAUAUAUUGUACAAUACUGCCUGCCUGCUCCCAGGUCAGACUUCAUAAAUCAAGCCAUCUUUUCUCAGCCAAUGCUGAUUGGCUUCAGCAUUGGUCUCACUCAGGGGUCUGGACAUCCAACCCCAUCCACUGGAAUUGGCACUUGAUGUGAAACCAGCAUCCCAUUCCUGGUCUUGCAUUCUCCCCAUUUAUUAAGUGAGAUAACACUCUCUUAAUAUCUAAGAUUUCUCACUUCUGGGCAUGUGAGAUAUUUUGGCCAUUAUCUGUAAAUACCCCUACCUCUGCUCAUGUUGCCUAACUAGCUAUGUCAGCACUUAAGUGGAAAAGGAUGACCAAAUACCUUCAAGAGCUGCCUUGAUUCCCACAGCACAUGACUGUUAGAAGUGUUUGGGGGAGGCUUCUUUAUCAUUUAUCAUUUAGGGUAGAAUUCAUCCAUAUCUCCUGAGGAGCAGAGUUGCACUGGGAACAAGUCAGGACAUUUUCAGAAACUUCAAAAUGAAUGUCCUCUGGUGAGCUCUGCUAGGUCUUAGUAGUAAAACUGAGCCAUUGGUCUAGUCUCUGGUGUCCAUACUGAGAUCAUAGGUACAGCCAAGGGAUGGGCAUCACCUCCUGUGUACAGACAGAACCUUGAGAGAAUUCAUUGAGAGAAAAGGUGUUAAGAUUUCACUGAUAUUUUGGUGUAAAACAUCUGCCAUCUGAUGGAAUUAUAAAAGUAAAACUCUCAAGGUCUUGGAUGAAGUCUCACUCAUCUUUGUGAGAUGUAGUUCUCAGCAUAUGGUAGUAUCUAGUGCUAGAUAAAUAUUUGAUGAAUGAAUAAAUGAACAAUUGGAGUAUCACAUUAUAGUUUGGUUUUCAGGAAAUAAGCAAGAUCAAAUUAUUUGGCUUAUGAAAAGUGACAAUUUUGUUGUCUCAAUUUUUCAGUACAUCUGAAUUGCCAAUUUCUGAGACUUUAAGUAGCAAGAGAAUGAGAGGAAGUGAUGAGAUGGAUGUAUAUUAAUUUGUUAUUGAGGUUAGUGUCAUAAGUAGACUUUUUUUGUCUCAGUAAAAUUUAGAAAGGUAUCUUUUCUUACCUUUGUCUAAAUCUGAAAUAUAUUUCCAACAGCUGCAAAUACUCAGGGCUCUUGUGGCAUUGUACUCUAAACUAAGAAUAAAGUAGAUCUCUUGGGUGGGGAUAUUUUAUCCUUUUUUAUUUCUAAUUUACUCUCCAUUACCUUUGCAUAUUUCCACAUGGCUGUGAGCCACACCCACAAUUGAAUAUCUCCUCUUCAGUCAACAGGUGAAUCCUGAAAAUUUCAGAUUUGCCAACUGCACAUUGAAUAUUCAAACUAAAAUCUUGUUUUAUUUAAAAAAAAUUUUUUUUUUCAACAUGAUGCAAAUCCAUUUUGAAAUUAGCAGAAUUUUCUGCCUUAGCUCAGGGUCAUCAUCUUGGGGCACUUUUCAUGAGAUGGUUGUCACAAUUAUAAGUGAAGCCUUGUUUUGAUUUUAACAGUUCUUAGUGCAGAGGCAAACCCUUGAGACUUCAGCAAUGUACAGCUGCCAGUUGAGGGAGAAAGUGUAUGGUGCUAAGUGUCUAAAAUCCACUUCAAAUGCCUGUUUUUAGAACCUUGUUACAAU